rnacentral:rRNA from 1 species
GAUCAUGGCUCGGAUUGAACGCUGGCGGCAGGCCUAACACAUGCAAGUCGAACGGUAACAGGAAACAGCUUGCUGUUUUCGCUGACGAGUGGCGGACGGGUGAGUAAUGUCUGGGAAACUGCCUGAUGGAGGGGGAUAACUACUGGAAACGGUAGCUAAUACCGCAUAACGUCGCAAGACCAAAGAGGGGGGACCUUCGGGCCUCUUGCCAUCAGAUGUGCCCAGAUGGGAUUAGCUAGUAGGUGGGG